rnacentral:rRNA from 1 species
UCCAGACUCCUACGGGAGGCAGCAGUAGGGAAUAUUGCUCAAUGGGGGAAACCCUGAAGCAGCAACGCCGCGUGGAGGAUGAAGGUUUUCGGGUUGUAAACUUCUUUUCUCAGGGACGAAGCAAGUGACGGUACCUGAGGAAUAAGCCACGGCUAACUACGUGCCAGCAGCCGCGGUAAUACGUAGGUGGCAAGCGUUAUCCGGAUUUACUGGGUGUAAAGGGCGUGUAGGCGGGAAAGCAAGUCAGAUGUGAAAACCAUGGGCUCAACCUGUGGCCUGCAUUUGAAACUGUUUUUCUUGAGUACUGGAGAGGCAGACGGAAUUCCUAGUGUAGCGGUGAAAUGCGUAGAUAUUAGGAGGAACACCAGUGGCGAAGGCGGUCUGCUGGACAGCAACUGACGCUGAGGCGCGAAAGCGUGGGGAGCAAACAGGAUUAGAUACCCCAGUA